GUGGGGAAUAUUGCGCAAUGGGGGAAACCCUGACGCAGCAACGCCGCGUGAGUGAUGAAGGCCUUCGGGUUGUAAAGCUCUGUCUUUGGGGACGAUAAUGACGGUACCCAAGGAGGAAGCCACGGCUAACUACGUGCCAGCAGCCGCGGUAAUACGUAGGUGGCAAGCGUUGUCCGGAUUUACUGGGCGUAAAGAGUAUGUAGGCGGAUAUUUAAGUCAGAUGUGAAAUUCCCGGGCUUAACCUGGGCGCUGCAUUUGAAACUGGAUAUCUAGAGUGCGGGAGAGGAAAGUGGAAUUCCUAGUGUAGCGGUGAAAUGCGUAGAGAUUAGGAAGAACACCAGUGGCGAAGGCGACUUUCUGGACCGUAACUGACGCUGAGAUACGAAAGCGUGGGGAGCAAACAGGAUUAGAUACCCGGGUAGUCC
rnacentral:rRNA from 1 species